AUGCGCCUCUGACAGACCUGGAGCAGUUAAUGUCUGCUGCUAAGAUUUCCACUACAGAUGCAAGAAAAAGAAGGUCCUCGCAUGUUUUGCCUGUCUUUUGUAACAGUCAAGAUUGAAUGGGGGAGUACAGGA
rnacentral:snoRNA from 1 species